UAGAGCAGUUGAGAUAUAAGACCUGGGGAAGUACGGUCUCCAAAAAUUUGAAACUUCUUAAGGAAUUUUUCGGUAGCCCUGGCACUAUGACGAGAAGCAAAUGGUUUUUAUUUGGAGGACCCGGAGAGUGACACCUUUCCCGGGCUUGAAACGUUAGUGAAUCAUUUAGAAGAUAGAUGAGUCCGCAAGGACACGAAGCUAGGUGGUGCAUGGGCUAUUCGUUCAGCUUCGUUCCGUGAGGUGUUGGGUUAAGUCCCCGCAACGAGCGCAACCCCUAUGUUUAGUUGCCAGCACGUAAUGGUGGGGACUCUAAACAGACUGCCUGUGCAAACAGCGAGGAAGGAGGGGACGACGUCAAGUCAUCAUGGCCCUUACGUCCGGGGCUACACACGUGCUACAAUGGAUGGUACAGAGGGCAGCAAGCUGGUAACAGCAAGCAAAUCUCCAAAAGCCAUUCACAGUUCGGAUAGAGGUCUGCAACUCGACCUCUUGAAGUUGGAUUCGCUAGUAAUCGUAUAUCAGCAAUGAUACGGUGAAUACGUUCCCGGGCCUUGUACACACCGCCCGUCAAGCCAUGGAAGUUGGGGGUACCUAAAGUAUGUAACCGCAAGGAGCGUCCCUAGGGGUAAAACCCGAUAAUCUGGGGCUAAUGUCUAACCAACGGAGCUGACCCUGAAGGGCAA
rnacentral:rRNA from 1 species